rnacentral:rRNA from 1 species
GACGAACGCUGGCGGCGUGCUUAACACAUGCAAGUCGAGCGGUAAGGCCCUUUCGGGGGUACACGAGCGGCGAACGGGUGAGUAACACGUGGGUGACCUGCCCUCAGCUCUGGGAUAAGCCCGGGAAACUGGGUCUAAUACCGGAUAUGACUUCAUGACGCAUGUUGUGGAGUGGAAAGCCUUGUGCGGCUGAGGAUGGGCCCGCGGCCUAUCAGCUUGUUGGUGGGGUGAUGGCCUACCAAGGCGACGACGGGUAGCCGGCCUGAGAGGGCGACCGGCCACACUGGGACUGAGAUACGGCCCAGA